GACGAACGCUGGCGGUGCGCCUAACACAUGCAAGUCGAACGGUGAAGCGGGCUUCGGCCCGUGGAUCAGUGGCGAACGGGUGCGUAACACGUGGGCAACCUGCCCCUCACUCUGGGAUAACUACGGGAAACCGGGGCUAAUACCGGAUACUCCGGCCGAACCGCAUGGUUCAGCCGGGAAAGGUCCGCUGGUGAGGGAUGGGCCCGCGGCCUAUCAGCUAGUUGGUGGGGUAACGGCCUACCAAGGCGACGACGGGUAGCUGGUCUGAGAGGACGACCAGCCACACUGGGACUGAGAUACGGCCCAGACUCCUACGGGAGGCAGCAGUGGGGAAUCUUGCGCAAUGGGCGAAAGCCUGACGCAGCGACACCGCGUGAGGGACGAAGGCCUUCGGGUUGUAAACCUCUUUCGGCAGGGACGAAGCGAUCGUGACGGUACCUGCAGAAGAAGCUCCGGCUAACUACGUGCCAGCCGCCGCCGUAACAC
rnacentral:rRNA from 1 species